GAAGAAGAAGAAGAAGAAGAAGAAAAAGAGAAGAGAAGGAGAAAGCAGAAGAAGAAGAAGAAGAAGAAGAAGAAGAAGAAGAAGAAGAAGAGGAGAAGGAAAGAAGGGCUGCUGUUCGUGUAUUUUUGGGGCUGCAACUACACAUUUUCUCUGCUCCUGCUGUGCUCUCUUGCUGGUGUUAUUGAGAUGCUACUGCUGCUGUAGAAAAGUAUGCAUGCAAGGCAAGAUGAAAGGUGCAAGGGGUUGUCCAACCUGAAAUCCUAUUGAAAUUUUACUACAUAUAUUGAGCUGCUGCUGUGCCUGUUCGGAGAGGUAAAUUUCAUCUCUCUAUAUUUCUGUACAGCAGGUUAUAUGCAUGUAAAUAAUAUUCCAACCAAGCUUCAAGCAUUGAAUCAGCCAAGAACUGGGAAUUUUGACUGCAUGCAUCGGAUUUGGUUCAAUUCAGCCACAUGCAUGCUGUACCUGCGUGUAAACCUGUAUGUGAAGAUGAUGUUGCAGGUACUAUGGUGCUGAUGGCAUGUGACCCAAUAUCCUUUGGGUCGGAGUAUAGUGUGAGCAAUUGGUGGAUACCAGAAGUGGAGGAGCACGAUUAGGACUGUGCUUAUGACCAUUGUUAUUACGUCACACCGUGAGAUGUACAACGUAUUUUUUAUACUUUUGAUAUGACCUGUGGAUGGUAUAUUUUGAGAUUAAUGUUUAUAAGUCUUGGAUAAUUGUAACAUAAUAACUUGGUUAUGGAUAUUAUAUUAUCAUUAGAUAUUUCUCCAUUUUAUUAA